UCGAAUCGCAUGGCCUUGCGCCGGCGAUGGUUCAUUCAAAUUUCUGCCCUAUCAACUUUCGAUGGUAGGAUAGUGGCCUACCAUGGUAUCAACGGGUAACGGGGAAUUAGGGUUCUAUUCCGGAGAGGGAGCCUGAGAAACGGCUACCACAUCCAAGGAAGGCAGCAGGCGCGCAAAUUACCCAAUCCCGACACGGGGAGGUAGUGACAAUAAAUACUGAUACAGGGCUCUUUUGGGUCUUGUAAUUGGAAUGAGUACAAUUUAAAUCCUCUUAACGAGGAACAAUUAGAGGGCAAGUCUGGUGCCAGCAGCCGCGGUAAUUCCAGCUCUAAUAGCGUAUAUUAAAUUUGUUGCAGUUAAAAAGCUCGUAGUUGAAACCUUGGGCCUGGCUGGCCGGUCCGCCUCACCGCGAGCACUGGUCCGGCCGGGCCUUUCCUCCUGGCGAACCGCAUGCCCUUCACUGGGUGUGCCGGGGAACCAGGACUUUUACUUUGAAAAAAUUAGAGUGUUCAAAGCAGGCCUUUGCUCGAAUACAUUAGCAUGGAAUAAUAGAAUAGGACGUGCGAUCCUAUUUUGUUGGUUUCUAGGACCGCCGUAAUGAUUAAUAGGGACAGUCGGGGGCAUCAGUAUUCAAUCGUCAGAGGUGAAAUUCUUGGAUCGAUUGAAGACUAACUACUGCGAAAGCAUUUGCCAAGGAUGUUUUCAUUAAUCAGUGAACGAAAGUUAGGGGAUCGAAGACGAUCAGAUACCGUCGUAGUCUUAACCGUAAACUAUGCCGACUAGGGAUCGGGCGAUGUUUCUAUUUUGACUCGCUCGGCA
rnacentral:rRNA from 1 species